rnacentral:rRNA from 1 species
UACAGAGGUCUCAAGCGUUGUUCGGAUUCAUUGGGCGUAAAGGGUGUGUAGGCGGCGAGGUAAGUCGGAUGUGAAAUCUCGGGGCUCAACCCCGAAACUGCAUUCGAUACUGCUUGCUUGAGGACUGGAGAGGAGAUCGGAAUUCACGGUGUAGCAGUGAAAUGCGUAGAUAUCGUGAGGAAGGCCAGUGCGAAGGCGGAUCUCUGGACAGUUCCGUGACGCUGAGGCACGAAGGCCAGGGGGAACAACGG